GAUGAACGCUGGCGGCGUGCUUAACACAUGCAAGUCGAACGAUGAAGCCCAGCUUGCUGGGUGGAUUAGUGGCGAACGGGUGAGAACACGUGAGUAACCUGCCCUUAACUCUGGGAUAAGCCUGGGAAACUGGGUCUAAUACCGGAUAGGAGCGUCCACCGCAUGGUGGGUGUUGGAAAGAUUUAUCGGUUUUGGAUGGACUCGCGGCCUAUCAGCUUGUUGGUGAGGUAAUGGCUCACCAAGGCGACGACGGGUAGCCGGCCUGAGAGGGUGACCGGCCACACUGGGACUGAGACACGGCCCAGACUCCUACGGGAGGCAGCAGUGGGGAAUAUUGCACAAUGGGCGCAAGCCUGAUGCAGCGACGCCGCGUGAGGGAUGACGGCCUUCGGGUUGUAAACCUCUUUCAGUAGGGAAGAAGCGAAAGUGACGGUACCUGCAGAAGAAGCACCGGCUAACUACGUG
rnacentral:rRNA from 1 species